rfam:Brassica oleracea var. oleracea cultivar TO1000 chromosome C3, whole genome shotgun sequence
GGAAUAUAAGAAACCGUUUCUUAACCUUUAACUAAAAAAGCUAAGAACCGGCUCUUAAAUAAGAUAUUUAAAAGCCGAUUCUUAGUUUUUUUCGUUAAAGAUUAAGAGACAGUUUCUUAUAUUCC